rnacentral:rRNA from 1 species
UACGUAUGGUGCAAGCGUUAUCCGGAUUUACUGGGUGUAAAGGGAGCGCAGGCGGCACGGCAAGCCUGAUGUGAAAGCCCGCGGCCCGACCGCGGGACUGCAUUGGGAACUACCGGGCUGGAGUGCCGGAGAGGUAGGCGGAAUUCCUAGUGUAGCGGUGAAAUGCGUAGAUAUUAGGAGGAACACCAGUGGCGAAGGCGGCCUACUGGACGGUGACUGACGCUGAGGCUCGAAAGCGUGGGGAGCAAACAGG